UACGUAGGGUGCGAGCGUUGUCCGGAAUUAUUGGGCGUAAAGAGCUCGUAGGCGGUUUGUCGCGUCUGCUGUGAAAACUCGAGGCUCAACCUCGGGCUUGCAGUGGGUACGGGCAGACUAGAGUGCGGUAGGGGUGACUGGAAUUCCUGGUGUAGCGGUGGAAUGCGCAGAUAUCUGGAGGAACACCGAUGGCGAAGGCAGGUCUCUGGGCAUUAACUGACGCUGAGGAGCGAAAGCAUGGGGAGCGAACAGG
rnacentral:rRNA from 1 species